rnacentral:rRNA from 1 species
CUUAGUGGCGGACGGGUGAGUAACGCGUGGGGAACCUGCCCUGUACAGGGGGAUAACACUUAGAAAUAGGUGCUAAUACCGCAUAAGCGCACAGUAUCGCAUGAUACAGUGUGAAAAACUCCGGUGGUACAGGAUGGACCCGCGUCUGAUUAGCUUGUUGGCGGGGUAGGGGCCCACCAAGGCGACGAUCAGUAGCCGGCCUGAGAGGGUGGACGGCCACAUUGGGACUGAGACACGGCCCAAACUCCUACGGGAGGCAGCAG